AUGAGAGAAGAUGGAAAGACGGUUUACGCUGUCACUUAUAGAUGGGCCCGCGGCGCAUUAACUAGUUGGUGAGGUAAUGGCUCCCCAAGGCGACGAUGGGUAACCGACCUGAGAGGGUGAUUGGCCCCCCUGGGACUGAGACCCGGCCCAGACUCCUUCGGGAGGCAGCAGUAGGGAAUUUUCCGCAAUGGACGAAAGUCUGACGGAGCAACCCCGCGUGAACGAAGAAGGCCUUUGGGUUGUAAAGUUCNGUUGUUAGGGAAGAACAAGUACCAGAG
rnacentral:rRNA from 1 species